GAUGAACGCUGGCGGCGUGCCUAACACAUGCAAGUCGAGCGAACGGACGAUAAGCUUGUUCCCCUGAUGUUAGCGGCGGACGGGCGAGUAACACGUGGAUAACCUACCUAUAAGACUGGGAUAACUUCGGGAAACCGGAGCUAAUACUGGCUAAUAUUUUGAACCGCAUGGUUCAAAAGUGAAAGACGGUCUUGCUGUCACUUAUAGAUGGAUCCGCGCUGCAUUAGCUAGUUGGUAAGGUAACGGCUUACCAAGGCGACGAUGCGUAGCCGACCUGAGAGGAUGAUCGGCCACACUGGAACUGAGACACGGUCCAGACUCCUACGGGAGGCAGCAGUAGGGAAUCUUCCGCAAUGGGCGAAAGCCUGACGGAGCAACGCCGCGUGGGUGAUGAAGGUCUUCGGAUCGUAAAGCUCUGUUAUUAGGGAAGAACAUAUGUGUAAGUAACUGUGCACAUCUUGACGGUACCUAAUCAGAAAGCCACGGCUAACUACGUG
rnacentral:rRNA from 1 species